rnacentral:rRNA from 1 species
UACGUAGGGGGCAAGCGUUAUCCGGAUUUACUGGGUGUAAGGGGAGCGUAGACGGUUAUGCAAGUCUGAAGUGAAAGCCCGCGGCUCAACUGCGGAACUGCUUUGGAAACUGUGUAACUAGAGUGCAGGAGAGGUAAGUGGAAUUCCUAGUGUAGCGGUGAAAUGCGUAGAUAUUAGGAGGAACACCGGUGGCGAAGGCGGCUUACUGGACUGUAACUGACGUUGAGGCUCGAAGGCGUGGGGAGCAAAC